rnacentral:rRNA from 1 species
UACGUAUGGUGCAAGCGUUAUCCGGAAUUACUGGGCGUAAAGGGUGAGUAGGCGGUUAAUUAAGUCAUAUGUGAAAAUCCAGGGCUCAACCCUGGACUUGCAUAAGAAACUGGCGAACUGGAGUGCAGGAGAGGUAAGCGGAAUUCCUAGUGUAGCGGUGAAAUGCGUAGAUAUUAGGAAGAACACCAGUGGCGAAGGCGGCUUACUGGACUGUAACUGACGCUGAGUCACGAAAGCGUGGGGAGCGAACAGG